rfam:Vibrio furnissii NCTC 11218 chromosome 2, complete sequence.
AUUCCUACUGUUAUUGCUCGCAGACAUUUUUUAUAAAAAAGUUCAUAUAAUGACGAGCAGUAA